rnacentral:rRNA from 1 species
CCUACGGGCGGCAGCAGUGGGGAAUAUUGCACAAUGGGCGAAAGCCUGAUGCAGCAACGCCGCGUGAGCGAUGACGGCCUUCGGGUCGUAAAGCUCUGUCCUCAAGGAAGAUCAUGACGUUACUUGAGGAGGAAUCCCCGGCUAACUACGGCCCAGCAGCCACGGUAAUACGUAGGGGGCUAGCGUUAUCCGGAAUUACUGGGCGAAAAGGUUGCGUAGGUGGUUUCUUAAGUCAGAGGUGAAAGGCUACGGUUAAACCGGAGUAAGCCUUUGAAACUGGGGAACUUGAGUGCAGGAGAGGAGAGUGGAAUUCCUAGUGUAGGGGUGAAAUGCGUAGAUAUUAGGAGGAACACCAGUUGCGAAGGCGGCUAUCUGGAAUGUAACUGACACUGAGGCACGAAAGCGUGGGGAGCAAACAGGAGUAGAUACCCCGGUAGUC